rnacentral:rRNA from 1 species
AGCAGCCGCGGUAAUUCCAGCUCCAAUAGCGUAUAUUAAAGUUGUUGCAGUUAAAAAGCUCGUAGUUGAAUUUCGGGAUCAAUAUAACGGUCAUGCCGUUGGUAUGCACUGUUAUAAUUGAUUUCUCACCUUCUAAAGAACCGUAAUGCCAUUAAUUUGGUGUCACGGGGAAUUAGGACUGUUACCUUGAAAAAUUAGAGUGUUUAAAGCAGGCUCACGCUUGAAUACAUUAGCAUGGAAUAAUGAAAUAGGACAUCCGAUUCUAUUUUGUUGGUUUCUAGGAUCGAUGUAAUGAUUAAUAGGGAUAGUUGGGGCAUUAGUAUUCAAUUGUCAGAGGUGAAAUUCUUGGAUUUAUUGAAGACUAACUACUGCGAAAGCAUUUGCCAAGGAUGUUUUCAUUAAUCAAGAACGAAAGUUAGGGGAUCGAAGACGAUCAGAUACCGUCGUAGU